rnacentral:rRNA from 1 species
UGCAAGUCGAACGCUGAAGCACCAGCUUGCUGGUGUGGAUGAGUGGCGAACGGGUGAGUAAUACGUGAGUAACCUGCCCUUUGACUCUGGGAUAAGCCCGGGAAACUGGGUCUAAUACUGGAUGCUACAUGUCACCGCAUGGUGGUGUGUGGAAAGGGUUUACUGGUCUUGGAUGGGCUCACGGCCUAUCAGCUUGUUGGUGAGGUAAUGGCUCACCAAGGCGACGACGGGUAGCCGGCCUGAGAGGGUGACCGGCCACACUGGGACUGAGACACGGCCCAGACUCCUACGGGAGGCAGCAGUGGGGAAUAUUGCACAAUGGGCGAAAGCCUGAUGCAGCGACGCCGCGUGAGGGAUGACGGCCUUCGGGUUGUAAACCUCUUUCAGCAGGGAAGAAGCCACAAGUGACGGUACCUGCAGAAGAAGCGCCGGCUAACUACGUGCCAGCAGCCGCGGUAAUACGUAGGGCGCAAGCGUUGUCCGGAAUUAUUGGGCGUAAAGAGCUCGUAGGCGGUUUGUCGCGUCUGCUGUGAAAGCCCGGGGCUUAACCCCGGGUGUGCAGUGGGUACGGGCAGACUAGAGUGCAGUAGGGGAGACUGGAAUUCCUGGUGUAGCGGUGGAAUGCGCAGAUAUCAGGAGGAACACCGAUGGCGAAGGCAGGUCUCUGGGCUGUUACUGACGCUGAGGAGCGAAAGCAUGGGGAGCGAACAGGAUUAGAUACCCUGGUAGUCCAUGCCGUAAACGUUGGGCACUAGGUGUGGGGGACAUUCCACGUAUUCCGCGCCGUAGCUAACGCAUUAAGUGCCCCGCCUGGGGAGUACGGCCGCAAGGCUAAAACUCAAAGGAAUUGACGGGGGCCCGCACAAGCGGCGGAGCAUGCGGAUUA